UAUGAAGUUGUGGCCGAGAUUAAAUAGGUUGCCUGUUUUACCACCUCCAAACAGAUUAGGCAACUGUGGUAGGCCACCUAAUUAUGCUCGGCGUAAAAGUGUUGGAGAAGCUACCUCAUCCUCUAAAAAGAAGACUAAGUUAACCCGUGAGAAGAGAAUCAUGACAUGCUCGAAAUGUAGGGAAGAAGGGCACAAUAGGUUAUCAUGUUCAAGACCAAUUGUUCUUGAGCCGCCGGAAGCUAAACGACCAAGGGGAAGACCAAGGAAAGAACAGGUUAUUCAUCUUUCAUGUUUUGAAAAUCUUGUUUCAUGAAAUUAUUCUUACGUUUUUCAUCUUUUGUUUCACUUUCAUUUUUUUUUUACUUUUGGUGGACAUAGGAAGGAAAAUCACAAGGAGGAUCACAAGCUUAAUGGCAAGUCUGGAUCACAAGCUUAGUCGCAAGUCUGGGUCACAAUGCUUUUGGCUUUUGUUGGUUUUGUUUUUUUUUUUUUUGUUGAAGACUUUCUAACUUUUGGCCUUCAGUGGUUUUGUUGAAAACUUUCUAUCAUGG
rnacentral:lncRNA from 1 species